UUAAAAGCUCGUAGUUGAACCUUGGGUCUGGCUGGCCGGUCCGCCUCACCGCGAGUACUGGUCCGGCUGGACCUUUCCUUCUGGGGAAUCCCAUGGCCUUCACUGGCUGUGGGGGGAACCAGGACUUUUACUGUGAAAAAAUUAGAGUGUUCAAAGCAGGCCUUUGCUCGAAUACAUUAGCAUGGAAUAAUAGAAUAGGACGUGCGGUUCUAUUUUGUUGGUUUCUAGGACCGCCGUAAUGAUUAAUAGGGAUAGUCGGGGGCGUCAGUAUUCAGCUGUCAGAGGUGAAAUUCUUGGAUUUGCUGAAGACUAACUACUGCGAAAGCAUUCGCCAAGGAUGUUUUCAUUAAUCAGGGAACGAAAGUUAGGGGAUCGAAGACGAUCAGAUACCGUCGUAGUCUUAACCAUAAACUAUGCCGACUAGGGAUCGGGCGGUGUUUCUAUGAUGACCCGCUCGGCACCUUACGAGAAAUCAAAGUUUUUGGGUUCUGGGGGGAGUAUGGUCGCAAGGCUGAAACUUAAAGAAAUUGACGGAAGGGCACCACAAGGCGUGGAGCCUGCGGCUU
rnacentral:rRNA from 1 species